UACGAAGGGUGCAAGCGUUACUCGGAAUUACUGGGCGUAAAGCGUGCGUAGGUGGUUUGUUAAGUCUGUUGUGAAAGCCCCGGGCUCAACCUGGGAAUGGCAAUGGAUACUGGCAGGCUAGAGUGCGGUAGAGGGUAGUGGAAUUCCCGGUGUAGCGGUGAAAUGCGUAGAUAUCGGAAAGAACAUCAGUGGCGAAGGCGACUUCCUGGACCAAUACUGACACUCAAGUGCGAAAGCGUGGGGAGCAAACAGG
rnacentral:rRNA from 1 species